CUCAAUAUACAGAAAUAGAGAAAUGAAAUAACAGUCUAAUCCAACCCCACAAACAAGGACAUAAAUAUACAAAAUAUAUAUAACAAUAAGCAUACCAGACCUUGUGAGAAGCAGGGACAGAGUCAGUCACAAAAACACCCCCAACGUUUCGGCAAAAAUGCCUUUAUCAAGGGAGCAUCAAACAGGGGCAUAUUCAAACAGGAUCUCAAAAGGGGACAGGCC